GACGGCGUGGCCAAGCGGCAAGGCAAGGGUCUGCAAAAUCCUGAGCGUGGGUUCAAAUCCCACCGUCGUCUCCU
rnacentral:tRNA from 1 species